UCAGUCGGCCGGGCGGCCGCUCCGCAGUCUUGCGGGGAGGAAAGUCCGGGCUCCACGGAAACACGGUGCCGGGUAACACCCGGCGGGGGCGACCCCAGGGACAGUGCCACAGAGAGAAGACCGCCGGCAGUUUCGUCUGCCGGCAAGGGUGAAAGGGUGGGGUA
rnacentral:RNase_P_RNA from 1 species